rnacentral:rRNA from 1 species
UACGUAGGGGGCAAGCGUUGUCCGGAAUCAUUGGGCGUAAAGCGCGUGUAGGCGGUUCAGUAAGUCUGCUGUGAAAGUCCAGGGCUCAACCCUGGGAUGCCGGUGGAUACUGCCGGGCUAGAGUACGGAAGAGGCGAGUGGAAUUCCCGGUGUAGCGGUGAAAUGCGCAGAUAUCGGGAGGAACACCAAUUGCGAAGGCAGCUCGCUGGGACGGUACUGACGCUGAGACGCGAAAGCGUGGGGAGCGAACAGG